rnacentral:rRNA from 1 species
GCCAGCAGCCAUACCACCUGCAGAUCAGACUAGAUAAUCUACCUGUAGCUAAGCAGGUUUGGGCCUGGCCAGUACUUUGAUGGGAGACCAACUAGGAAAACUGGUUUGCUGCUGGAA